rnacentral:rRNA from 1 species
ACGGCUCAAAUUUGAAAUCUGGCGCGCCUUUCGGCCGUCCGAGUUGUAAUCUGGAGAAGCGUUUUCGAUGCUGGCCCCGCGUACAAGUCCCCUGGAACGGGGCGUCGUAGAGGGUGAGAAUCCCGUCUCUGACGCGGGUCAAGUGUUAAUGAUGCGCUCUCGAAGAGUCGAGUUGUUUGGGAAUGCAGCUCAAAACGGGUGGUAAAUUCCAUCUAAAGCUAAAUACAGGCGAAAGACCGAUAGCGAA